rnacentral:rRNA from 1 species
UACGUAGGGGGCUAGCGUUGUCCGGAUUUAUUGGGCGUAAAGAGCGUGUAGGCGGCCAGGUAGGUCCGGUGUGAAAACUCGAGGCUUAACCUCGAGAUGUCAUCGGAAACCAUCUGGCUAGAGUCCGGAAGAGGAGAGUGGAAUUCCUGGUGUAGCGGUGAAAUGCGCAGAUAUCAGGAAGAACACCAAUGGCGAAGGCCGCUCUCUGGGACGGUACUGACGCUGAGACGCGAAAGCGUGGGGAGCGAACAGG